AGUCAAGUAAUUAAGUGCAUGUGGUGGAUGCCUUGGCAGUCAGAGGCGAUGAAAGACGUGAUAGCCUGCGAAAAGCUCCGGGGAGGCGGCAAAUAUCCUUUGAUCCGGAGAUGUCUGAAUGGGGGAACCCACCUACUUUAAGGUAGGUAUUGCAACAUGAAUACAUAGUGUUGCAAGGCGAACGAGGGGAAGUGAAACAUCUCAGUACCCUUAGGAAAAGAAAUCAAUUGAGAUUCCCUCAGUAGCGGCGAGCGAACGGGGAUCAGCCCAUUAAGUUAUGUGUGUUUUAGUGGAACGCUCUGGGAAGUGCGAACGUAGAGGGUGAUAUUCCCGUACACGAAAGGGCACACAUAAUGAUGACGAGUAGGGCGAGGCACGUGAAACCUUGUCUGAAUAUGGGGGGACCAUCCUCCAAGGCUAAAUACUCCUGACUGACCGAUAGUGAACCAGUACCGUGAGGGAAAGGCGAAAAGAACCCCUGUGAGGGGAGUGAAAUAGAUCCUGAAACCGCAUGCAUACAAGCAGUGGGAGCACCUUCGUGGUGUGACUGCGUACCUUUUGUAUAAUGGGUCAGCGACUUAUAUUCAGUAGCGAGGUUAACCGUAUAGGGGAGCCGUAGAGAAAUCGAGUCUUAAUAGGGCGUUUAGUUGCUGGGUAUAGACCCGAAACCAGGCGAUCUAUCCAUGAGCAGGUUGAAGGUUGGGUAACACUAACUGGAGGACCGAACCCACUGUCGUUGAAAAGCCAGGGGAUGACUUGUGGAUAGGGGUGAAAGGCUAAUCAAGCCUGGUGAUAGCUGGUUCUCCCCGAAAGCUAUUUAGGUAGCGCCUCGGACGAAUACCAUAGGGGGUAGAGCACUGUUUCGGCUAGGGGGUCAUCCCGACUUACCAAACCGAUGCAAACUCCGAAUACCUAUGAGUACUAUCCGGGAGACAGACUGCGGGUGCUAACGUCCGUAGUCAAGAGGAAAACAAUCCAGACCGCCAGCUAAGGCCCCAAAAUCAUAGUUAAGUGGGAAACGAUGUGGGAAGGCAUAGACAGCUAGGAGGUUGGCUUAGAAGCAGCCACCCUUUAAAGAAAGCGUAAUAGCUCACUAGUCGAGUCGGCCUGCGCGGAAGAUGUAACGGGGCUAAAACUAUGUGCCGAAGCUGCGGAUGUAUACUUUGUAUACGUGGUAGGGGAGCGUUCUGUAAGCCGAUGAAGGUGUGUUGAGAAGCAUGCUGGAGGUAUCAGAAGUGCGAAUGCUGACGUGAGUAACGACAAAACGGGUGAAAAACCCGUUCGCCGAAAGACCAAGGGUUCCAGUCCAACGUUAAUCGGGGCUGGGUGAGUCGACCCCUAAGGCGAGGCCGAAAGGCGUAGUCGAUGGGAAAAUGGUUAAUAUUCCAUUACUUCUGUGUAAUGCGAUGAGAGGACGGAGAAGGCUAAAUCAGCCUGGCGUUGGUUGUCCAGGUGAAAGGAUGUAGGCAUGUAUCUUAGGCAAAUCCGGGGUACUCUAUGCUGAGAUCUGAUAGCAAGCUGUACUUGUACAGCGAAGUGGUUGAUGCCAUGCUUCCAGGAAAAGUCUCUAAGCUUCAGUUACACAGGAAUCGUACCCGAAACCGACACAGGUGGUCAGGUCGAGUAGACCAAGGCGCUUGAGAGAACUCUGCUGAAGGAACUAGGCAAAAUGGUACCGUAACUUCGGGAGAA
rnacentral:rRNA from 1 species